AUAGCCGUACAAGUAUCUGGCCAAAAUUUCAUGAUCGAGAACAUAAAUCUGAAAGUUCUUAUUGGUCACUCAUAGCCGUACAAGUAUCUGGCCACUAUGGAUGGUCCAUACGAAGCCCUCGGACCGAUCAGCCCUUUAUGGGAGUGCUAGCUCGCACAGUCGCUUUCUAAUGAUGGAUCUAAAUCGAUCUCCUUCUUCGAUCACCUC
rnacentral:lncRNA from 1 species